GCGUCCGAGUACUGUUUGUCCGCAAUUAGUACGUGAACUACUUUUUGCAAACGAUGACUCAUGUUGGAGGCAACGUUGGUGACUCACACCAACCUUGGAGCCAACGUUGGAGCCAACGUUGGUGAUAAUGAUUGACAAUAGAAAAAUAUUAGAGCUGGUUUGAGUUAGGAUAAGAGUACAGUGGGGAGGAGACACGAGACAGGAGACUUGGGCAGAGGGUAGCGGGGAAAGGCAGGUUUAAUGAAGACGCAACUUAUAAAAACAAGAGCAAUGUCUUUCUUUGCCUUUUUCGAUUAUUAUUUGAUAUAUAUAUUUCAAUUUAUAGAGCAGCCAUUAGUAACCAACAGUGGACGAAAGAUCGAUAACUUGAAGGACGAACCGAAGAAUUUUUCUUAUAAAAUGAGUUCCUGUGUCGAUGAAUUGUAUUUGUGUAAAUAUGUACUUUGCUCGAUAAAAAUGGUUCUGGGAAAUACAUUUGAUAGAACAGUUGAAGUAAGUCGCAGCAGUGUACACAGCGUUUAGCCACGUCAAUACAACAGAACAAGUUAUGACAGCUCCUGUUGUAGUGUGUUUAAAAAUGUCCAACUACAUUUUAUUAAUCUAAUCCCAGAAAGAAUUCAAAAAUCAAAGAAGUAUUAUGAACAGUUACACGGUUUGACCGCAGUCCUGGUCGCCGCUGAGGCUCGCUGAUGGAUCCUGAAUCAUGAUACAAGAAUGUUCAAUAAAGACACUGGUCUUCUAUUAAUUUGAUCUUAGUCGUGUUUAUUUACUGAACGCCGCUUACGACAGUCUCUAGCGAUUCACUGAACAGAACCGGUCGUGAAUAUAUACAGAGAGAUUAAAAUGGAAACGAUGGACUUGGAACCAGCGCCGAGAAAGGAGUUAGGACUGACAGCACCAAGACGACCAGACCGGCUUUUGAAAUAAUACUAUGAAAGUUGACCGGCAGUGUUGACACUAAUAUUAUACGUAACGUGGUUUGUUUUAGGGUAAUAUACGCUAGCUUUCAUACAUAAAAAUAAAAAUGAAUUUAGUAGGUAUA